UCGAAGAUUAUUUCUCGAUGUCUCGUUUGUCUAUAUAUUACAGAGGAACGUGAAACGAGAAAAAAACAAAAAGAGAAACAGAGAAGGGAAAUCAAGAGAGGAAUAGAGAGACAAGAGAAAAAUAGUUUGUCGUGGUAUAACGCGCGGUGUUAAGUUUUUCAAAAGUGUCGAGUUCGCUUUGGUACAGUGUGUGCCUCUAUCCUUGACGAAGCCUCGAACACACAAGCAAGGACCGCGGAGGUAUCUCAGAACCCGCCCCUCCUCGACGUCGCAGUGCCUCUUCUCCCGUUAUCGCUACGUCGUGUGCACUUUUAUUUUCUCCCCGUUCGAGCCGCGCGACUAUCUCCACGCUACCGGAGAAACACUCCUCGACCAUAAAUAUCGAUCGACUUGGGAAUCAGACUAUGUUAUUUCGGAUAACGGAUUGAUCGCACCCGUCGCUUCAUUCACACGUCGGACAUGAAAAAUCUUGGUUCGCGUUGGACGGUCCCCGACAUAGCACGCACUGCCGCAGCGCGUUCGUCAUUUCUCGUCGCCAUUUCGUCGGAACGGGAUUCAGGUAGCAGCCGCCCCAGCCGCAACCGCAGCAACGGAAGCCGUGACAGCAUUAAACGCAGAGGAAGCAACGUUCGAAGUAACGGUAGCGGCAGCGACAGCAACGGUAUCGGUAGCAUUGGCGGAGGUAUUCGCGCGAACGAACGCGCCACGACGAUCGAGAAUAAGAGGGUGACCAGGGGGAUCGGUGGAUCGGCAGUCGGCGUGCUGCUGCACGAGGCGACGUAUUUAUCCGUCCGAUCGUACGUAACGGCGUCGUCAGAUCGCAUCGACGGCACGACGCGUCCCGAAUCGACGACCAGGCACCGGCCCGUAGCCGGCAAGUCGCGCGGUUCCCAGCGCCGGUAUCGUCCUCGCCAGCCACCGCAGCCGCAGCCGCCGCAGCAGCAGCCACUCUAUAACCACACCGCAUCGUGGGACACGCGCACAUUACACUUCAGAAACUGUUA